GGCUUGGCUAAAACAUUAUCAGAGUUUGCAACGGAAGGUGUAACUGAAAUAAUCAGUGUUUACAGCGGAAAGCAUAACUGAGAUACAUGUAUGAAGACAUGUAUCCUUUCUGAGCCUACUUUAGGUUCGACAAAAACUCCACUCAGCAACAACACUUCAUCGCCCAUCACAGCUCAACCUGCACAAACAUAAACAUACGAAGGGCUAAGUACAAGAGUACUUAGUGGGCAGUGCCAAGCAUAUAACAUAAUAUCAACAACAAAACACAACAUCGCAUAAGAGGAAUAAGUUUCUUUCAAAUCCUUUGCUUAUUAAACCUUUCCAAAUUCAUAAAUAGCAUAAUGGCAUUCUUCAUCAUCAAUCUUCAUAAACAAACAUCGUGUCGUGGAGAAGGCCUUCCCCAACGAACACGGGCAUCGCACCGUGAAGGGGGCCUCCCUCAGCGGUCACGGCAUCGUACUAUUGAGGGAGGCCUCCCCCAAUAGACGCUGUAACACUGGCAUACUGGCAUCGCGCCGCUAGGGAGGCCUCCCUCAGCGGACACGGGCAUCGCGCCGUGAGGAAGGCCCUCCUCAGCGGACACGGCAUCGUACUGUUGAGGGAGGCCUCCCCCAACAGACGCAAGCAUCAAACAUAAGCAUAAACUUAUCAGCGUAAAGCAUUCAAGCGUAAAUAAGCGUAAUCAAGCGUAAAUCAUUUAGCGUAAAGCAUAAUAAAGCAUACCACACUUGAAGAUCCAAUUUGCAUUUUAAAGCAUAACACAUGCAUAGCAUUUUAUUUACGCGUAAGAAAUUGCCCACCUGAUAGCAAAGUUUUGCUAAGGUACUCUAACUCCUUGUGUAGUUCUUACUCUCGCGCUUGACCUUAAUCACGAGAAUAUAAAAUAAGACAUUGCCUCGAGGAAAAUUCUUAAUUAAUGAGAAAGCGUAAUUUAACUAUGCAUGAAUCUUGUAUGCAUGAACUAACAUUCUGAGCGAUAAUCGGGAAUUCUACUAUUAAUCAUCGUUAAUAGAUUUAACUAACUUCCGUCCAACGCGGUCGAAUAGAGCUGUGAUUCUUCCUUCCCCAUCGGAAUAUUCUAAUUGUAAAAUAAACCUCGCAUUUGUACUCGAUCGAAAAAAAGAACUAACUCGGCUUUAAUCGAGGUGUGACAACGUAAAAAUUAUCGGGCUUUUCAAAAAUUUAAUAAAUAAUUGAAAACAUUUCUCUUGAGUUAAGAACACCAACAAUAUUCUUACUCGUCUUUCUUUAAUAAUUGGAUUUAUAAUUAAAACCAAUUAAAUACUUUUAUUGCAAGUAAAAAUGCAAUUUCAUGUCAUGCUUAGCAUAUAAUAAAUAAUUUACUUAAAAUAUGCACAUAAUAAUAAUACAAUAUUAUUAUGUAAAUCAUCUUUUGAGAAAAAAAAAUUAAUUAAACUAAAUAAAUAGUCUAAUUAAAUAAAUUAAUAAGUAUUCAUUUUUCUUUGAACUGCAGCCCAGUUAAAUAAUAAGGUAGCCUAUUUCUUAAAAAAAAACAUAAGCCCAAUGUUUCAAUUUAAAUCAGGGCCCAAAGACUUUAAUAAAAUCGGCCCAUAGCCAAAGCCCAAUACCAUUUAAACACCAGCCCAAUCUUUUAAAAGAUAAAGGCCCAAUUAAAAUAAAUGAAGAGGGCCAAAUUCCAUUUAAAAAUCGGCCCAUCACUUAUUAAAAAUCGGCCCAAGACUCGGCCCAAAAUAAAGAAAUUAGAGGCCCAAUUCUUCUCUUACGGUCCAUACUCUCUCUUUUCAUCACCAACUAUCGGACUCUCUCUCUCUCUCAAAACAAUUCACGCUUUUCUCUCUCUUUUCUCUCUCUCAAGAACCGACGCUCCCUCUCUUCCUCAAGGCCGGCUGAUCGGCCUCUUCUCCUCUCACCGAGAUUCCGUUCGGCCACCGCCUGCUCCGACCGGCGUCGUCUUCUCUCUUCCUCAAAAUCCAAUCUCGCCUUUCUCUCUCUGGAAGAGCCGCUCGUCCCCUUCUCCUCAAACCAGUCGAGCCCUAACUCAAGAAGUCCUCGCCGCUGUCGCUGCUACUCCUUCGCCCGGAAUCCGGCGAUUCAGCCGGCGCUCUCUCAUCCUGUCAUCUCAAUUCAUCGAUUCCCCAACAUCGAGCCCUGAUUCUCAAGGAAUUAUCGCUGCUGCUACCCUUUCGAAAUUGGGAAGCUGGUCGCCGUCUGGGAGCGGCGUUGCUCCGGCCUGGAGCCCGUCGGCCUCCUCUCCUUCCCCUCGUUUCGUCUUUCAACAUUUCCGAGGCCGAGAUACAAGUUUCCUGAUCUGAGGAUUCAGCCCGCCUCUGCCGCUGCUUCUCCGAAAUCGGCGAGUGGUGGGGAGAAGCUUGCUGCCUCCGGCGAUUCUCCCAUUCCGACGUUCAUGGAAACUCCGUCAUGGAGUCGUCUCCUCAAAUUAGAGCAGGGCAGCAGCCCUAAUUUUCCUCUCCGAUUUUGAACCGCCAUCUCCUUCGCGUUCCUCCGGCGACCAGGGAAAGGUCCGCCUUCGUUGUUCUCCGGGGUCGAUGGGGUUCGAGUUGCGUCACGCCGCCGCUGCUGCCGUUCUCGGACUUCGCCGUGACAGCAAGAGCUGUCGUCUUAAUCUUCGUCACGGCUCGGCUGAAUAGGGCAGUCGCCCCCUUCCCAUUCGAAGCUAAGUUCUCAUCUCAAUUCGAUUAAAAGUCCUAGUUUUUGUGAUCGUGAGUUCUCGUAAAUGUUAUUCUAGAGUGCAGCCUGUUUGUGAAGUUUAUACUUUCUAUUGUACGAAAUAUCUAGGCUAUUUGAUGUAGAUGAACUGUGAUAUGCUAGAUAUGGAUGCAAACUGAAUUGAAUAUUUGGGAUAUCAAAUUACCUUGAGUAUUUUGUGUUGGUAGCUGCUGUUGUUGAUAAUGAAUUCAAUGGGGAAGGAACUGAAAUUGCAAAUAUUGUUUCCUCAACAAAUGCAGAAAGAACCAAGUAUGGAAUGAAGAAAACUUAGGCCAAGACUUACCUCUCGAUACUUGGCAGUUGGCAGCAGGAAUUAACUUCUCUUCAUCUCCCUUUCUGGUGCUUAGUGUAUGAGAGAAGGAAUGAAUGGAGGUGAAUGGAGGAAGGUUGCUGCUCAAUUGUUUGCUUGAAGAAGUGUUGGCUAGUAGCCUUCAAGAAUCGAAGAUGGUGGGGAGAAUGUAGUGGAGGAAAGCAAAAGGUGGUGGGCAAAGGAUUGUAGUGCACACUUUUCCUU
rnacentral:lncRNA from 1 species